rnacentral:tRNA from 1 species
UAGAAUAUAGUGUAAUAUGGGUAGCACGAAGAUUUUUGAAUUCUUAAGAGCAGGUUCAAUUCCUGUGAUUCUAG